GCCAAGCGGUAAGGCAGGGGACUGCAAAUCCUUUAUCCCCAGUUCAAAUCUGGGUGCCGCCU
rnacentral:tRNA from 1 species